GUAUAAUCAAGUAGUCUAUUGUUGUUCAACUUAAUAUUAAUGAUAUAUGUACAGUACAUUAUUUUCACAAAAUAUGCUAAGUUAAUUAUUAUUUCUCUAUAUCAUUUGACGAAUCGAGUUUUAUCAGCAACAAUACGUUGAAUUGCUGAAGGACAUCCAACAGUAGGCCUAUGUCUACUAGGAGGAUGGUGGUUGACCUGCUCGCCACAAAGUUUUUUUUUUCAUUGGGGGACCGAGCAAGGCAGAUUUUAGAAAGGCUAAACCAAACAAGUGCAUCUGUUGGUUGGAUUGCUGAGCAGCAUGGGUGAAAGAUUUCUACAACAGUACAUCUACAGUAGAUGUAACUAAUAACUAGGAGGAUGGUGCUUGAACUAAUUGCUACAACAUUUUUCCAUUCCGAAAAAAAUAUGGGGACCGAGCAAGGCUAAACCAAAAAAAUGCAAAUGUUGAUAAUAAAACCUGCCGUUGGAAUGGAUCAAGUUGAUGAGAUUCCUUUGUUAAAAGAAGUUUCUUAGUUUGUAAAAGUGAUUAACUUUUGAAAUUUAUGUAAAUAAAAAUGAGUUUAUCAAAUAA